ensembl:snRNA U6 U6 spliceosomal RNA
GUGGUUGCUUCGGCAGCACAUAAACUAAAACUGGAACGAUACAAAAAUUAGCAUGGCCCUUGCACAAGAAUGACAUGUAAAUUCGUGUAGCAUUCCAUAAUUUU